GACGAACGCUGGCGGCGUGCUUAACACAUGCCAGUCGAACGGGCCUGCCUUCUUUUUUGGGGGUGGGUUGAGUGGCGAACGGGUGAGUAUCACGUGAGUAACCUGCCCUUCGGUCCUGGAUAACCGCUUGAAAGGGCGGCUAAUACGGGGUGGUCCGGUUGGUCCGCAUGGGCUGGUCGGGAUAGAUUCACUGUUUUUGGUGUUUCGGCGGGGGAUGGGCUCGCGGCCUAUCAGCUUGUUGGUGGGGUGAUGGCCUACCAAGGCGGUGACGGGUAGCCGGCCUGAGAGGGUGGGCGGCCACACUGGGACUGAGAUACGGCCCAGACUCCUGCGGGAGGCAGCAGUGGGGGGUAUUGCACAAUGGGCGGAAGCCUGAUGCAGCGACGUCGCGUGAGGGAGGGAGGCCUUCGGGUUGUGAACCUCUGUUUCCGGUGGUGAAGGCCCUGUCCGUGUGGUGGGGUUGACGGUAGCCGGGGAUGAAGCGCCGGCUAACUACGUG
rnacentral:rRNA from 1 species